CAGCCGACUGUAAAGAAUUGCAGCUUUCCGCCGAAAGACGGAUUGAAAAACGAGGUGAAUUGCUGGAAACCCUCCACCGGUUGGCGGAUGGCAAUCAGCAGCCGAGCUCCGACUUUACGUCGGAGAAGGUUCAGAGACUAUUCCGCAAGGAAGUAGUCCCGCAUUUGCGGGCCGAAGCCCCUCGCUCCUAAUCCCAAACAGGAACAAUGGAAUGGAGAUGAUAUAGUCCACACUACCAGUAAUGGUGGA
rnacentral:ncRNA from 1 species